UUGAGAGGACAAAUUCAGUUACUCACAGGCAGAAAAAAACCACAUUUUGACAACUCACUUGGACUAAAACACCUCACAGAACACCAGUGGGCUCAGCCCACCCAUUCCACCUCCAACAUUCCAUUUAUUCAGACCCACUGACAACCCCAGCCUGAGUUCUGCUGAGUGGAGCACAGAACCAAAGCUAAAUGUCCCAAAUUCACAAGAGAAGAGCAAAAAUGACAAUUGCUAUGUGGGUCAAGUGAAUGCAGAGCUCAAAGCACCCAGCACUGAUCCACAAAAGGCUCUGAGUGCUGCAGACACCCCAGGACCUAAAAUCAACCAAUUCCCAAGGUGAACACCCAGCCCUGAGGAGCCAAACUACAUGAUACCUUUGUGAUGGAUGUUCUGGAAGAACUGAGGGGAACUCAAAGAACCGAGGGGAUCUCAGAGUUACUGAGCUCCAGGACUGGAGGAAAAGGCUUGAAAUAAUCUGUCAGAAAAAUUGUAUCACUCCAAAUGUCUCUGGCUGCCACUCAGGUGACAAUGUAGCGAGACAAGCCAGAGAGG